AAGACUAUACUCUCAGGGAUCAUAUCUAUAGUUCCUUAUUAGAGAACUUUCUUUGAUCAUAUAGAGCACUCAAAACCAUGAGAAGGAGCCAGAGCAUCCUCUCCUGAGUGUUAAGCAGAUUCUAGGUGAUGCUUUUGCAAUUGUCUUUUACCAUUGAUGAUGAUUCUUCUCUUCCUUCAGAACCGUGAGAGGGAGAAGACGCAGUCUAAAUUGU